rnacentral:tRNA from 1 species
GCCUGGGUGGCUCAGUCGGUUGAGCGUCCGACUUCAGCUCAGGUCAUGAUCUCAUAGUUCGUGGGUUCGAGCCCCAUGAUGGGCU